rnacentral:sRNA from 1 species
AAGAUUGAGCGUGGAGUCAGAAGUUGCCUGGGUCUCUUGAAAAGUCCAAUAAAUCUCUUCUUUGGAGAACUGGAUGACCUUCAUUCCUUGAGAAGGAAAUGGUUUCAGAGUUCUGCCAAUUGUUGGUAUCUGAGCUUGGGCAACAAUACAUUCGUUCACAAGUAUAACUCCAGAUCUUCCAUCAGAAGAGCAGUUUCUCCAUGUCUUGAAAUUUUGUUAACCAUAAAAUUUGUUUCUGUGGAUGAACAAAACUGAGCACAAAUGCUGAUGUAUCCAUUUAGAUCCAAGGCUGCAAAGUCUUCAAUCCUUUCCUUGACUAGACAACAGCAAAUCAGUCCAGGAUAAUCAUAUGUUUUUGUGCUUCCUAUAUAUUCAGCAAGCAAAAGGUUCAACGUUGAGUUAGAAACUAGGAUCAAGAAUUUCUCCAACAAUCUGACUUCGGAGUGGUGACA